CAGUCGGUGGCGGCGCAGAAGGAUUCGGAAGAGAAAAUGAAAGCUCCCUCUCGUUCCCGCCCCCACCCCUGCCGCUACUGCUACGCUUAAAUGUCGGCGCACACUCUCCAGGCUGCCUUAGAUGAAGUCACAGGCCCCGUGUCAAGAGUGACCGGCCGGUAUCACUCUCAUUUUCACUCGGCGGAUGUGGUGGGCAGAGUUCCCUCUGGAGGCCCAGAGAUGACCUCGUCUUUCACAGCAGUUAACCGCCCUAUGGACACGGGCACCCCUUUUUGGCCAUCGCAGACGCCUGAAUAUGCAAACGAGAGCAUUGGCAGCAGGCUUCUGGUCAAGAUGCAGAUUCUUCCCCUUUGGAGGAGAAGGAGACUGGCAGGGCUGUCUGGGUGCUGGCUCUGGGCCACUGUGUGGGUUGCACACCCAUGAAGCCAGUCCUGUCUCCAGAGCAGGCCCGCAAGACCCUUCAAGAUCUGGACCCAAAGGACCACCCCAGCCUGUGCUUACCACCUCAACGAACUCUGUGCUCCUUCCUCUCAAGACCUCGCCCCACUUCCCACCUCUGGGCGCCUGUUCUUUUCCCGAUGCCCGGGCA